rnacentral:tRNA from 1 species
GCGCCAUUAGCUCAGCUGGAUAGAGCGUUGCGCUACGGACGCAAAGGUCAGGGGUUCGAAUCCCUUAUGACGCA